rnacentral:rRNA from 1 species
GGGUUGUGAGGUUAAGCGACUAAGCGUACACGGUGGAUGCCCUGGCAGUCAGAGGCGAUGAAGGACGUGCUAAUCUGCGAAAAGCGUCGGUAAGGUGAUAUGAACCGUUAUAACCGGCGAUGUCCGAAUGGGGAAACCCAGUGCAAUUCGUUGCACUAUCGUUAACUGAAUACAUAGGUUAACGAGGCGAACCGGGGGAACUGAAACAUCUAAGUACCCCGAGGAAAAGAAAUCAACCGAGAUUCCCCCAGUAGCGGCGAGCGAACGGGGAGCAGCCCAGAGUCUGAAUCAGCUUGUGUGUUAGUGGAACGGUCUGGAAAGUCCGACGGUACAGGGUGAUAGUCCCGUACACCAAAAUGCACAGGUUGUGAACUCGAAGAGUAGGGCGGGACACGUGGUAUCCUGUCUGAAUAUGGGGGGACCAUCCUCCAAGGCUAAAUACUCCUGACUGACCGAUAGUGAACCAGUACCGUGAGGGAAAGGCGAAAAGAACCCCGGCGAGGGGAGUGAAAAAGAACCUGAAACCGUGUACGUACAAGCAGUGGGAGCACCUUCGGGUGUGACUGCGUACCUUUUGUAUAAUGGGUCAGCGACUUAUAUUCUGUAGCAAGGUUAACCGUAUAGGGGAGCCGCAGGGAAACCGAGUCUUAACUGGGCGUUAAGUUGCAGGGUAUAGACCCGAAACCCGGUGAUCUAGCCAUGGGCAGGUUGAAGGUUGGGUAACACUAACUGGAGGACCGAACCGACUAAUGUUGAAAAAUUAGCGGAUGACUUGUGGCUGGGGGUGAAAGGCCAAUCAAACCGGGAGAUAGCUGGUUCUCCCCGAAAGCUAUUUAGGUAGCGCCUCGUGAAUUCAUCUUCGGGGGUAGAGCACUGUUUCGGCUAGGGGGUCAUCCCGACUUACCAACCCGAUGCAAACUACGAAUACCGAAGAAUGUUAUCACGGGAGACACACGGCGGGUGCUAACGUCCGUCGUGAAGAGGGAAACAACCCAGACCGCCAGCUAAGGUCCCAAAGUCAUGGUUAAGUGGGAAACGAUGUGGGAAGGCACAGACAGCCAGGAUGUUGGCUUAGAAGCAGCCAUCAUUUAAAGAAAGCGUAAUAGCUCACUGGUCGAGUCGGCCUGCGCGGAAGAUGUAACGGGGCUAAACCAUGCACCGAAGCUGCGGCAGCGACACUAUGUGUUGUUGGGUAGGGGAGCGUUCUGUAAGCCUGCGAAGGUGUGCUGUGAGGCAUGCUGGAGGUAUCAGAAGUGCGAAUGCUGACAUAAGUAACGAUAAAGCGGGUGAAAAGCCCGCUCGCCGGAAGACCAAGGGUUCCUGUCCAACGUUAAUCGGGGCAGGGUGAGUCGACCCCUAAGGCGAGGCCGAAAGGCGUAGUCGAUGGGAAACAGGUUAAUAUUCCUGUACUUGGUGUUACUGCGAAGGGGGGACGGAGAAGGCUAUGUUAGCCGGGCGACGGUUGUCCCGGUUUAAGCAUGUAGGCUGAUUGUCCAGGCAAAUCCGGAUAAUCAAGGCUGAGGUGUGAUGACGAGGCACUACGGUGCUGAAGUAACAAAUGCCCUGCUUCCAGGAAAAGCCUCUAAGCAUCAGGUAACAUUAAAUCGUACCCCAAACCGACACAGGUGGUCAGGUAGAGAAUACCAAGGCGCUUGAGAGAACUCGGGUGAAGGAACUAGGCAAAAUGGUGCCGUAACUUCGGGAGAAGGCACGCUGGUGUGUAGGUGAAGCCCCUGCGGGUGGAGCUGAGACCAGUCGAAGAUACCAGCUGGCUGCAACUGUUUAUUAAAAACACAGCACUGUGCAAACACGAAAGUGGACGUAUACGGUGUGACGCCUGCCCGGUGCCGGAAGGUUAAUUGAUGGGGUUAUCCGUAAGGAGAAGCUCUUGAUCGAAGCCCCGGUAAACGGCGGCCGUAACUAUAACGGUCCUAAGGUAGCGAAAUUCCUUGUCGGGUAAGUUCCGACCUGCACGAAUGGCGUAAUGAUGGCCAGGCUGUCUCCACCCGAGACUCAGUGAAAUUGAACUCGCUGUGAAGAUGCAGUGUACCCGCGGCAAGACGGAAAGACCCCGUGAACCUUUACUAUAGCUUGACACUGAACAUUGAGCCUUGAUGUGUAGGAUAGGUGGGAGGCUUUGAAGCGUGGACGCCAGUCUGCGUGGAGCCAACCUUGAAAUACCACCCUUUAAUGUUUGAUGUUCUAACGUUGGCCCCUUACCGGGGUUGCGGACAGUGUCUGGUGGGUAGUUUGACUGGGGCGGUCUCCUCCCAAAGCGUAACGGAGGAGCACGAAGGUUAGCUAAUCCUGGUCGGACAUCAGGAGGUUAGUGCAAUGGCAUAAGCUAGCUUGACUGCGAGCGUGACGGCGCGAGCAGGUGCGAAAGCAGGUCAUAGUGAUCCGGUGGUUCUGAAUGGAAGGGCCAUCGCUCAACGGAUAAAAGGUACUCCGGGGAUAACAGGCUGAUACCGCCCAAGAGUUCAUAUCGACGGCGGUGUUUGGCACCUCGAUGUCGGCUCAUCACAUCCUGGGGCUGAAGUAGGUCCCAAGGGUAUGGCUGUUCGCCAUUUAAAGUGGUACGCGAGCUGGGUUUAGAACGUCGUGAGACAGUUCGGUCCCUAUCUGCCGUGGGCGCUGGAGAAUUGAGGGGGGCUGCUCCUAGUACGAGAGGACCGGAGUGGACGCAUCACUGGUGUUCGGGUUGUCAUGCCAAUGGCACUGCCCGGUAGCUAAAUGCGGAAGAGAUAAGUGCUGAAAGCAUCUAAGCACGAAACUUGCCCCGAGAUGAGUUCUCCCUGAGACUUUAAGUCUCCUGAAGGAACGUUGAAGACGACGACGUUGAUAGGCCGGGUGUGUAAGCGCAGCGAUGCGUUGAGCUAACCGGUACUAAUGAACCGUGAGGCUUAACCUUACAACGCCGAAG